rnacentral:misc_RNA from 1 species
GAUGAAGAACGUAGCGAAAUGCGAUACGUAGUGUGAAUUGCAGAAUUCCGUGAACCAUCGAAUCUUUGAACGCAAAUUGCGCUCGAGGCCUCGGCCAAGAGCAUGUCUGUCUCAGAGUCGGCUUACCCCUCUCACUCCCCAUUCUUUGUUACAAAGAGCUGGGGUAGUGGAUCUGGCCGUCCCGGUGAACAGCCGGGUCGACCGAAGCACAGAGGCUUGUGCUUGGAUCCCUUUAAGGGCAACAGCUUGGUAGGUGGCUCAUGCUGCAUGCCGCUGGAGCCUUGGAGUCCACGCCUGUGGCCGGCAGGAAACCAUUCAAUCAUUCGACCUGAGAUCAGGCAAGAACACCCGCUGAACUUAAGCAUAUCAAUAAGCGGAGGA